rnacentral:rRNA from 1 species
UACGGAGGGGGGCUAGCGUUGUUCGGAAUUACUGGGCGUAAAGCGCGCGUAGGCGGCUUUGUAAGUUAGAGGUGAAAGCCCGGAGCUCAACUCCGGAACUGCCUUUAAGACUGCAUCGCUAGAAUUGUGGAGAGGUGAGUGGAAUUCCGAGUGUAGAGGUGAAAUUCGUAGAUAUUCGGAAGAACACCAGCGGCGAAGGCGACUCACUGGACACAUAUUGACGCUGAGGUGCGAAAGCGUGGGGAGCAAACAGG